ACGGAAGGCAGCAGUGAGGAAUAUUGGUCAAUGGACGGAAGUCUGAACCAGCCAAGUCGCGUGAAGGAUGAAGGUAUUAUGUAUUGUAAACUUCUUUAGCAGUGGAGUAAUAAGGGGAUCGCGAUCCCUGAUGCAAGUACACUGAGAAUAAGGAUCGGCUAACUCCGUGCCAGCAGCCGCGGUAAUACGGAGGAUCCGAGCGUUAUCCGGAUUUAUUGGGUUUAAAGGGUGCGCAGGCGGCUUUUUAAGUCAGUGGUUAAAUCGUGACGCUCAACGUCAUCACGCCAUUGAUACUGGAGAGCUUGAUUGCGGUCGAGGUUUGCGGAAUUCGUUGUGUAGCGGUGAAAUGCAUAGAUAUGACGAAGAACUCCGAUUGCGAAGGCAGCUGGCGGUACCGUUACCGACGCUCAUGCUCGAAAGUGUGGGUAUCGAACAGGAUUAGAUACCCUGGUA
rnacentral:rRNA from 1 species